rnacentral:rRNA from 1 species
AUGGAGGCACUCUGAAUGCAGACCAUUGGCCGCGUGGCAGGAUGACGGCCCUAUGGGGUGGUAAACUGCUUUUAUGGUGAGGAAGAAACACUCUCACGUGUGAGAGCUUGACGGUACUACAAGAAUAAGGACCGGCUAACUCCGUGCCAGCAGCCGCGGUAAUACGGAGGGUCCAAGCGUUAUCCGGAAUCAUUGGGUUUAAAGGGUCCGUAGGCGGGCUAUUAAGUCAGAGGUGAAAGUUUGCAGCUCAACUGUAAAAUUGCCUUUGAAACUGGUAGUCUUGAAUUAUUAUGAAGUGGUUAGAAUAAGUAGUGUAGCGGUGAAAUGCAUAGAUAUUACUUAGAAUACCAAUUGCGAAGGCAGAUCACUAAUAAUAUAUUGACGCUGAGGGACGAAAGCGUGGGGAGCGAACAGGAUUAGAUACCCUGGUAGUCCACGCCGUAAACGAUGGAUACUAGCUGUUCGGAUUUAUCUGAGUGGCUAAGCGAAAGUGAUAAGUAUCCCACCUGGGGAGUA